GCCAGUAGCCAUUUUACCCUGCAAUUCAUAACUGGCAACCCACUGAAGCUAAGCAGGUGUGAGCCUGGUCAGUACCUGGAUGGGAGACCUCCAGGGAAAAACUAAGGUUGCUGCUGAAA
rnacentral:rRNA from 1 species